rnacentral:rRNA from 1 species
UUACCAAGCCGACACUGACGCUGAGGCACGAAAGCGUGGGGAUCAAACAGGAUUAGAUACCCUGGUAGUCCACGCCGUAAACGUUGAUUACUCGUUGUUGGCGAUAUAUUGUCAGCGACUGAGCGAAAGCAUUAAGUAAUCCACCUGGGGAGUACGUCAGCAAUGAUGAAACUCAAAGGAAUUGACGGGGGCCCGCACAAGCGGAGGAACAUGUGGUUUAAUUCGAUGAUACGCGAGGAACCUUACCUGGGCUUAAAUGUAGAGUGCAUAGAGUGGAAACAUUCUUUUCCUUCGGGACCCUUUACAAGGUGCUGCAUGGUUGUCGUCAGCUCGUGCCGUGAGGUGUCGGGUUAAGUCCCAUAACGAGCGCAACCCUCAUCGCCAGUUGCCAUCACAUUAUGGUGGGGACUCUGGUGAAACUGCCGGUGCAAACCGUGAGGAAGGUGAGGAUGACGUCAAAUCAGCACGGCCCUUAUGUCCAGGGCUACACACGUGUUACAAUGGCUGGUACAACAGGCAGCUACCACGCGAGUGGAUGCUAAUCCCCAAAACCAGUCUUAGUUCGGAUCGGAGUCUGCAACCCGACUCCGUGAAGCCUGGAUUGC